rnacentral:tRNA from 10 species
AGGAGUUUAGCUCAGCUGGUAGAGCACCGGUCUCCAAAACCGGGGGUCGUGGGUUCGAAUCCCCCAACUCCUGCCA